rnacentral:lncRNA from 1 species
GACGAACGCUCAGAACCGGCAACGCAACACAAGGAACCAUCAUGGCGGUUCUAGACUAUUUGCUGUCUUCAUGGACGAGGCGGCUAGGGAACAUCCAGAAGUCAACCGGUACGUCUAUACGUACGAGAAGGCAUAUCCUGACGCCCAGGGGGAUAUUGUAAGUCAUCUUACGUUUUUAAUUUACUUAUAUAUAUGUCAAAAUGUUAAUUAAUAAUUUUUUUCCUAUCCAUAUAGGCGGAGGUGAGGGAGGCUAGUGACGAGGUGAUGAGUGCUAUAGUGAGGGAGACAUGGCCGGACACGCAGGAAGAAGAGAUGUCCGAAGCCAUGUCCCGGAUCAACACUUCGGAUCUGACGAUUGGGGCGAGGAUCAUGAGCACAGCCUUCCCACCGAGAGCAAACAACUUCUACUGCCGGGUCUAGGAAAAAAGGCGAGGGGGUCCUGAAGACCACUCUAGGAUUUCAACGAAAGGCAACCUCGACCAGCAGCAGGACCACGUCCACGACCACCAGGAUGACUCAGCUAGAGUCGGAAGUUCAGAGACUACGGGAACAACAAGCUGCUCAGGCUGCCUAUAAUGCCUCGCAGGCAGCCUAUGUUGCCGAGAUACAUGUCAUCCAGCAGGCCCAGCAACAGCAGAUGUUCCAAUACAGACAGGACUUUACAGCUGCCCAGCUUCAGGGACUUCCGGCUCCACCCAUGCCUACGGCUAUACCGCUACCCCAGCCGCCGCAACCUCCGCAGCAGCCCCCAGAAGCGGAUAUUAAUUUAGACGAUUUAGAUUUUGUGUAAUUGAUGAAUUAUAUAGUUUUAUGUGCUUGUUGUUGGUUAUAUGGAAUUGUUUUGGUGUAUUUUGCAGCUUGCUUGGAAUGGUAAUUUAGAAAUUUCGGGGUUUUUUUUUUACUGGAAUGGACUUAUAGCCGACGAAAAACGCCUUAAUUCGUCGGCUAUAGUAUUUUAUUUUUUUAAAUAAGUUUUAGCCGAUGAAAUACGCUUUAAUUCGUCGGCUAAACCCCUAUAAAGCCAACGAAAUAGACUAUAUUUCGUCAGCUUUAGUUAUUUUUAUUUUUUAUUACCGACUUUAGCCGACGAAACAUUUAAGAUAUUCGUCGGCUAAAGUCUGAGAAAAAACCGACGACAUNNNNNNNNNNNNNNNNNNNNNNNNNNNNNNNNNNNNNNNNNNNNNNNNNNNNNNNNNNNNNNNNNNNNNNNNNNNNNNNNNNNNNNNNNNNNNNNNNNNNNNNNNNNNNNNNNNNNNNNNNNNNNNNNNNNNNNNNNNNNNNNNNNNNNNNNNNNNNNNNNNNNNNNNNNNNNNNNNNNNNNNNNNNNNNNNNNNNNNNNNNNNNNNNNNNNNNNNNNNNNNNNNNNNNNNNNNNNNNNNNNNNNNNNNNNNNNNNNNNNNNNNNNNNNNNNNNNNNNNNNNNNNNNNNNNNNNNNNNNNNNNNNNNNNNNNNNNNNNNNNNNNNNNNNNNNNNNNNNNNNNNNNNNNNNNNNNNNNNNNNNNNNNNNNNNNNNNNNNNNNNNNNNNNNNNNNNNNNNNNNNNNNNNNNNNNNNNNNNNNNNNNNNNNNNNNNNNNNNNNNNNNNNNNNNNNNNNNNNNNNNNNNNNNNNNNNNNNNNNNNNNNNNNNNNNNNNNNNNNNNNNNNNNNNNNNNNNNNNNNNNNNNNNNNNNNNNNNNNNNNNNNNNNNNNNNNNNNNNNNNNNNNNNNNNNNNNNNNNNNNNNNNNNNNNNNNNNNNNNNNNNNNNNNNNNNNNNNNNNNNNNNNNNNNNNNNNNNNNNNNNNNNNNNNNNNNNNNNNNNNNNNNNNNNNNNNNNNNNNNNNNNNNNNNNNNNNNNNNNNNNNNNNNNNNNNNNNNNNNNNNGGUAAUUCGAAUAAUAAACAAUACUAUUCUUUAAAAAUUAAAAUAAGAAGAAGGAUUGUGUCUCUAAAUUUUAUUUAUCGAUCAUCAAAAGAAUGUUCUUACAUGAACUAUUUUAUAUUUUUGUUACUUUUGUAUUUUAAUAAUUGAUAGAUCAUAAUUUUUGUAAAAAUAUUUUUUCACUUUGUAUAUGCAUGUGACAUGUAUGAUAAUAUAAAUAUAUAAAUGCUUUAAUAAGUAUGUGGUAAAACUACAAAAUAAAAAUCAAUAAGGAAAAUAAUAAAAUGUAAUCCAUUAUUAUUGAAUUAAAAGGUUUAGAGAGAAUAAAUAUAAUAUUACUUUUUGUUUAAUUAGUUUCCUUAAUAGUCAUUAUGUAAGAAGAUAAAUAUGUCAUUUAAUAAUUCAUAAUCGAGUGAGGUCAAGUGAAUAAAUUUGGAGGUCCCAAUAACCGCACUCACACGUCAUCUUCUUAAUUUUCUUCUGCAAUUAAUAUGCAUGCAUGCAUAUCCUUCGUAUAAUUAACCUAUCACCCGCGCGCCUUCGAUUCCAAAUUCCCGGUGUUAUAAUGCCAGUUCCCGGUGUUCCCUAAUCUCACAGUUAGAAACAGUGAUCGAUAUCCCAGUUUCAGACACGAGACAGUAAUAGAGAGAAAAGCAAAUAUGGGAGCUAGACCUAGAUAUAUAACCUUUUCAAUUUUUCAUGGGUUUGGUCAAGUAUUAUUUACUGACAAAAUCUCUUCUUUUUCUUGUAAACCUUAAAACCAAGUGUGUAUAUGAAAUUUCUCCAUCCCAUCAAAUCAUAUUCUAUUCAUUAUUACAAUAUCUCGUCACGGUCAUUGCAUCGAUCUUUUGUAAUUAUUCAACACAGGAAAAAAACGGGGUUCUGCUGCAGCAAGAGAAUAAAGCAGGUAAAGCUUCUCUUCCAGAAAUCUCUUCUUUCUCUAGGUUCUAGGGUUAGCUAGCUAGCAAGGUUCCAUUUCCUCUCUCUCUCUCUCUUAAAGAUUGAAGCUCUAUAUCAUGUAAUCAUGUAUGGCCCUGUGAAGCUCCAAUGCUCCACAAUCCACUCGAUCCAGACCUGAUGUGAAAAAUCCCAGAAAGAAAAUAUCCAAACGAUGGAGAACAAAUUGUCUUUAUUUCAUUGUCUUACUACAUAAUUCCUUUCUUAUUUUUCUGGCAUACUGACACAGUUUGUAUUAGACGUUAAGUUCAUAUCGCGUUGUAUCAUGUAACCCUUAAGCUAUUGCUUAAUAUACAUGGGACUGAUGCGAGUACUGGCUAUAUAUGAGUAUGGUACAUAUAGAAACUUAGAAAGAGAGAUGCAGCCUCUUAAUAGUUCUUAAAGUCUGUACUACCUGGUAAUUCUCAAUAGUUCUUAGUUAAUUUCUUACUUCACAUACAGUUGACAGUUGAGUACGUAUGCUCUAUCAUGAUGAGAAAGAUUGAUUCUCUUUCAAUGAAUUGUAAAUUUGUAUUUACCCGUGAAGACAUUGUUGAAUAAUGUUCUUGCACUUUGGUGAAACUUGUUCGACUUUACUGUCGAAUAUGUUGCAUAAUUCCUAGUUUUUUUAUGUUGCAGAAUACCUAGCUAGUUGGAGGAACUUAAUUGUUUGAACCCCAUAUAUGCACUUUCUUUAUACUUUCGUUUAUACGAAAAGAAAAUUACAUAUUAAAAUUUAGAACCUCUAAUACCACCCAAACCUUGAUUUGUCGAACCACACUCCUAAUAUGAGGAGGAUGAGAACCAUCCAAUUCAAAAUAAGUGUUACCACAAACUGAAGUAGCAAUAAUUUGAAUUAAAUUCAGUUUACCCCCUUGUGAUUUAGGGGUGACUUCAUAUUAGUCCCUACACUUUUAAUUUCAUCAGUUUACCCCUGAACUCUUCAAUUUUUGUCUGCCGUGCCCAAAUUCUCAUAUUCCGUUUGAAUUAACCAUUAAUUCUAUAUACGGGUCUCAUAGUUAAGGUUAAAAUUAUCAGCAGUUAACGUCCGAUUUAGACAGAAUAUAGGACAUUGGUCACGCUUGAGGAAAAUUCAAAAAUUUGAGGAGUAAAUUGAUAAAAUUGAAAGUAUAGGGAUUAACAUGAAGUUAUUCUCAAACCUCAUGAGGGUAAACUGAAUUUAAUUCCAAUAAUUUUGAGCAAGUAUUUUUGGAAGUCACUUACAAUGAGAAUAGAUUUUCGAGGUCAAGCUAGAUUAUAAAAAAAAUUUAAAUGCAUUUUAUUAAGAUUUCAAUUCAUACGUAUUUCAAACAGAAACUUGAAAUAUAGUUUAGGCUUCCAUGCAUUGAUAAAAGAUAUAUAUAUCUUACAGGUGAAACACAAAUUAAAGAGAGGUAAAAAUUUUAACUUCAAGAAUGGACAAAAGAUCGAGCUGGAAAAUAGCUUAUAUCCCCGCACGCAUGGAAUAAAUCAACGGAUAAUUCAACUCAGUUUCCAUAUCGAUCGAGUAGAAACUGAUUAUCAAUCAAUUAGGAAGAUAAAGACAGCAAGUAUAACCCUACAAGUAAUUAAGUUGGGCAUUUUUGUUUUUCUUCUUGUUUUGAACAAGCAGCACUGCAGCAGCGAGCCACUAAAUAUGAUGGGUUGAAAAAUGGGUACAAAUAAUGAAGCUAGAGUGCUAGACGUACAAUAGAACAGAACAGAACUUUGGGUCAUGGUUAGGAUUUAGCUAGAUCGAGUUACUGUUAUAAGAGUUACUGUUAUAUAUAGGUAGAUCGAUGAUCUAGGGUUAGGGUUUCAAGGGUAGGAGGUAGCUAGGCGAAUCCAUCAGAAAAGCGUAAAAAUAAGAAAGCAAUUCAAGCAAGGAGAAAAAGUUAGAGGGACUUCACUGGAAGGGAGGGGGAUGGGGAGGGAUGGAGAGACACGAAGGCUAGGCCCCUUGCAAGCAAGCAAAGCUUUUUUGAUGAUAUGAACUUUACGUCAAGUCCAUCAACAGCUAGCAAGAAUCUAAAGUACAGUGAUUUUCUUUUUCUCCCCAGAUUUCAAAGUGAUCGAACAAAUUUAAACCCCAGAUUUCAAAUGCUGGAUAAAUUAACGCUUCAUUAUUUAAAACGUUUUUUUCUCUCUUUGAGAGGUUCAUUAUAUAUAUAAAAACGAGAAUGUUUUUGGUUUUGUAGACUUUGCUUUUGCCAAAUUAAGCUGUUAUUCUAUGCCUCUAUGGCAUCGAGGAAUCUUAAUGUAGUGAGAUGCAAUCAUUCAAUGGGGGAAAAACCUGAAAGUUUUACUCUUUAAAUCAAAACCUAGGAGUAAAAUGUUAAUUUGAACAUUAAAAUUUUCUCAUAUUUCACGUGGUCAGGUUAUUCUUACUGGGGAUUUUGCCCAGCUGGUUACGUUUGAGCAGCAUUUUGGGCUUAAGUUUGACGUUUCAAAGCCGAAGUCUGGCGAUGCUAGUGGUUCUGAUAUGGUUGUCACGGCUGUCAUAUCUCUCGGCAGAGGUGUCAAGCAGGGGUCAAGCAGCUGCUGCUCUCGACGUGCUUCUUCAAGAUCAUGCUUACAGGUCCUUUGUUCAUCCCAAGACUGGAGUUCCCUAUGAUGCGCAGGUCCCUUGGAAUUUAACUGGAGUUCAAAUUGCAGCUUUGGGGCUCAGGAGUGGAAGCUUGUACAUGAGAGGUGUUGUGUACAAAGAGUUUGAAUUCCCAGUGGGAGUCAAUGAGACUAGUCCAUAUGAUGCGGAGAGGCUUGUUCUGGUGUACCAGAACUUAGGCAAUUGGUCAGUGGUGUAUUAUCCAUUACCAGGUUAUUCUUACUUGGCUCCAGUGUUGGGUCUCCUUGCUUAUGAUGCUAUCAAUUUAUCAGCGAAAAGAUUACCAUACUUGGAUAUCAAGGCAACUGUUGAUCCCAUAAAGAUCAAAUUUCAGGAUGUGAAACCCAACCCUGCUAAUGGAACUGUGGUCAAGUCACUCAAGUGUGUAACUUUUAAUUUAGAUGGCUCUAUCAAUUUCAGUGAUGUGGGAUCAGGCAAUACAUGUUUAGCAGUCCAACAGGGGCACUUAUCUAUUGCGGUUGACUCCAUUGCUCCGGUCACCACCCCUAAUAAUGGAAGUCCCCCAAGUCCUACUCCUGGUGGCGGUAGUGGAAAGAAGAAGAGUAAUUCAAAAACAUGGAUAAUUGUUGGGUCUGUGCUCGGUGGAUUGGCAUUGUUGCCAUUCCUGGUACUGUGGGUGCAUAAAUACAGAAAAAGAAAACAUUUGGAAGAGAUGUAGAAGGCUGCAGACUCAGGAGAAGCUUUGCAUAUGACAACAGUUGGAGAUACAAAAGCACCUUCAGCAAUGGUUACUCGAACACAACCUACAAUCGAGACUGUUGAAUACGUUCCUUAAUUGACUUCCCCACCAUCUGUAAAAGCUUCAAGUCCUUUCCAGACCACCAUUCAUAUUCAAUUCCUGUGGAUCAUCACACAGACACACACCCUCUUUGCUUUUCUGCCUAGAUUAAUUUGUUUACAUUAGGACUUUUGUGUAAAUCUGUUAUCAAGUACUCACCAAUAGUUUAAUUACUAUGCUUCAUUGUGGUGUUAAGUUUAGCACAGAGUGAUUCUAUAUUGUUAUAAAAUAAAAAAAUAAAAAAAUUGAUGUUGAACACUUGAACCAUAAGCAUCAUAUCCAACUUGUGGCUAAGAAUAAAUCACUUCUAGCUAGCUAGAUCGAGUUUAACCAACAUACACAAUGUGUACUAAACAAUAGAAAGGUAGUGUAAGCUCUUGGGGCCUUUUUGGACUAGAUAAUGAGGAUAAUUUUAACUUGAUUUCAAUGCUCAAGUAAGCUAUAACCAAAAUGUAUUGCUUUUGGUGGCCAGAUCUGUGUAAGCUUAUGAGUAUUAAGCGACAAACUUGCAACCAACUACAAAAGAGUUUGAUUUCAGCUUUUGCUCUUGUGGAUAGUAGAUACCUAACUAGUGGUGUCACUUCCUCAGCUGGGUACGUUUUACUCGUACUAUCCUAGCAUAGUCAUAGUUUUCAUCAUGAGAACUAGCAUGCAUCAACGUUAAUACUUUAGCUUAAUGUUAAUAUGAUGAUCAUUUUGUAGGAUAAGGUGGUGGAAGCUAUUUGGUUUAUGAUUAGAGUUUGAGAUUCUCGUCUAAUCUUUACGACUCGUAUUGAAGACCAUUGCAUUGAUCACUUUUAUUAAUUCAUAGGUUUACGAUACCACUCAGUCAUAGUUUUUCAUGUUCAAUGGCUGACUGGCACGUUAGUGAUUAGCACCAAGAUGCCAUUACGCGAACCAAAAUCUCAAAUGAUAGUGAAGAAAGGUGUUUCGUCUUUGAAUGGAAUAGCAGCAUAUUAUUUUUCAUUUUCUUGGAGAUCUAUACAGUAUAUAUAACUUUACCCCAAGAUUGGAGGAAACUGACCUUUAAUUUGCUUCAUCAACUGGCUAAUGCAGGAGUCUUCUUUUAUGGAUCAAAGUUUACUGCAUAUUUUAUAUAUGGCAUGCUUCAUAAAACUCUAUUUAAUUUUGUGUUUUAAUUUGUUCUUCCCAUAUUUUCUGCUAGAACUAAGAAGGGUACGUACGUUUCCACAGUUGUACAGUUGCAACCUGCAACACUUGGCUGUAAGCUACAAAGUUGUGGUGGACGUUUGUGUUCAUCGAUGAUAUGAACGUCUACAAGAAUACAAGUUAAAACGAUCAUUAGUUUUCUUUUUCAAAUCGGUCUCAUAUAUUUCUCAUGUCAAAGGAGAAAGGAGCGUUGGAUUCCAUGGCAAUAUGUAAAGCUUAAGCUAUAGCUAGUUAAGCAAGCAAAAGCAAGAAAGCAAGCUUGCUCUUAUAAGUUCGUACAAAGGGGACUCUAGCUAGUGCCACUGUUACAUACAUGUACUCAUAUAAUUACCUACCUCUCUUCCUUGUCUUCUCUCUCUCUCACUUUGUUUUAUCUAGGGCACUCGUAGCCUGGCUAGCUAGCGAGCUAUACAUAUGCAUAAUGCAUCAUUGCAUCUGUAAUAAGUUGUGACCAGACUUUGAACACAGAAGACUGACAAGCUUGUUUGCCAAUGGCCUUGGGAUUCAAGUAAUAGUCUAGUUCAUAUUUUUGAUCCUAUAAGCAUGUGUUCAUUGUGUAUUUUAUCGUCUAGCUAUUCAGAUAUCUUGCCCCAUUACAUAUAUAGAAUUUUAAAGAGAAACAUAAAAAUCUGUGUAUGGCAAUGUUCUAAAAAACGCCGUCCAGAGCCGCCUAGACGCUAGGCGUCAGCCCACCAUUUCGAUUUCCCACUAAUCGUUCAAUCUGGUCGCCAGCGCGAAAAACGGCCGUCUAGGCGGGCUGGGCGGCUCCUAGGCGGUGCCUGGGCGGCCCGAUUAGGUUUUUUUUUUUUUGAAUCAAAACACAUUAAAGCCUAAUUUGUUUAUUUCAAAUUAUUUUUGUUAUUUCUAAGAACAUAGUAGUUGACCAUUUUAUUUAUUUUUGAUAUAUAUUUUCUAUUUUGGAACAUUAUAAUGCAUUUUAUAAAUUUAUUUUUAUAUUUUAUUUGCUAUUAAAAAAUAAAAAAUACGGAAAAUACAAAACCGCCUAGGUGUCCGAUUAAUCCUCUAGGCACUAGGCCGUCUAGGCACCGGCUAUCCGACCGACUAGCGCCUAGCGUUUUUUAGAACAUUGGUGUAUGGCCUCACCAACAUGCAUGAUUCUUGGAAUAUCUGAUGCAGAACAAGGUGACGAACCAUACAACGAUUAAUACUGAACUCAACUCUUGAUAAUAUUUUAGGUUGAGAAUGAAUAUGAAUCAGACCAUGGAUCGGAGGACUGUUGAACCACUUGUCCAUUCUUCCUACGACAAUUAAUAACAAAGGAAUAUUGGAAGAGUGUCUAAGCCUUGUAUAGAGUAUAAGAAACAACAAAAAGAUAUAUGGAAUGAUCAUGGGAACCGAAUGACAGCGUUCACCGACACUACGCAUUUGAUCGACGAUACCGCCAAGAACCAAGUCGUGAAAAUGACGGUAAGAUUCUCAAAUAUAUAUAUAUAUAUAUAUAUAUAUAUAUAUAUAUAUUUUUUAAAGAUUUUCUUAUGCCUUAAUCGUUUAGGUAAUUGCUUAGUGCUAAUGAGUCUGCUGGGUUUGUGAAAACAAUGGUGCAAAACCCUAAAACCCAGGUAUUGUUUAUGCUCAAUUUCAUUUGGUUUCAAAGAUACCAUCUUUAUGAUUCUACAUCUUCAUAUUGGUUGAUUCUACAUCUUUAUGACUUUAUACCAUCUUUAUAGUGUUCUGAGUUCACUGUGUUCGGCUAAUUUUGGCUAAUUUGAUGUUUUACUGUAUGAGGUGUUGGAUGCUUAAGUUUUACAAGAGACUGUUCUUGAAUAAAUUUUCAUGGUUUAUGGUUAUAGGGUUUGUAAUAUUGUGCUGUUGCUUUUUGGUGUUUCGAGUUUACAUAUGUAUCUAAUUUUAAAUGAUAUAAAAUUGCUCUUUUGUUGUGAAUAAUCAAUUAUAAACUAGUAGUUUGUUCUAAUAUCUCAUUCAUAAUAUAUUGUAGGUAAAACUCAACUAUAGUCUAUCAACUCUUCUCUCACGUAAACCUAUGUAUACUUGUAUCAGAAAAACAUAGUUUUGAUAUGUCAAAAACAAAUCACGUAAAACAUGUCACGCAUCUGUAAUACUAUUCGGUCAACAUUGUAUUCACAUUAAAAAAAUCAUUGGCCACAUAUAUAAUACAUGUUUUAAGUUUCUAAUAAACAUAGCCACAUAGGUAUCACUUAUAUUUACAUGGUCACGUAGUAACCAAAGAAUGAUCAAUCACCGUUGGAUAUAAAUUCAAGGGUAAAAAACAAAACAACUUAACUUUAAAAUAAUACUUCCCACCUUUUGAUUUACAUCCAACGAUGAUGAACCAUAAUUUUUUUAGUUACUAAGUGACCAUGUGAACACUACUGAACAUAGAUAUGUUUAAAAAAGAUUGAUAUUAGUUACUGAACUGCCGGUAUCGAAUAGGAAUUGGAGUAGAAAAUAUUCCAAUUCGAACUCACUACAUCACAAAUAUUUACCAUAGCCAGGUACUGAUAUAUUAUCUGUAUCAGUGGCCUGCACUCACAUAGUGAAAAAGAAUGGCUAUCAAUCCUAUCAUUGUACGAAGGACGAGAAUAUAUGCCAUCUCCCACUGGCAUGGCCUGCACUCACCCAUGUGAUCGAUGUGUCACCACUCACCACCAAAUCACUGUACAUAGAUUCCCUUUUUCUUCUAUUAAUUCUCAGGAGAAGUCUUUGAAGCUUAAUUCUUGCAUUUCCAAAGAAGCUUCAUCACAAUCCAAGUCUUCCAUCAUAUAGAACUGAUCAAUAAGCAACACCUGGUCUUGCCGACUUGCAGUACUAGCUAGCACCAUUAACACCCUCUCUUCUACAAGAGCAAUCAAGUUGUAUCUCCGAAAAUGAAUAACAGUGAUGCGAAGAAGAAGAGGGAAGAGGCAAGAACAAGAGCUAGGGAAAGAACAGAGCAGAAACUGAAGAUCAGAUCAACAAGCUGCCAAACCAAUCAGGCUAAGGAUCUAAACCCUUUCAUAAUUAAUUUUAUGCCCAGCCAAGACUACAAAUUCACUUAUCAUUGUCAUUCACCUAAACCCGGCCAGAACGUUCCUCAAGUUUAACUGAGCCAGAAGCUUUUCUCACUGCAGAGUGCAGCGCUUAUAUUAUGAAGUGGGACAGUUACAAUCUUUGAAAGUGUAUGCGAGAAGGAGAAGAGCGCAAUUAUUUAUGUUUUCAGUAUUAUUGCAGUUUGCUUAAUUCAGAUUCUAUUUGAGCUUUUUAUUGGUAAUUAAAUUUGAAGAUGUUGUAAUAUAGAUAUGCUAUCUCUUCUAUAUAAGAAUUGGGUCAUGCAUGUGGAUAUAUAGUGUGUGUAUAUGAUCUUACUAUCAUAUUUUUCAAGCUUCAUGUUUACUUAGAUCAUGAGUAGCUAGCAAAGUGGUACAAAAAAGACAGUUGAAACUUGAAAACGAAGAAAACUACUAGGAACAAUAUUGUGCUAGCUCAUCCAUCACUAGCUUCUUAACUGUUUAACAUUGAAGUUCCUACCAUAGCAGUAGAUAUGUUUGAUAUUAUUAGAUGAGAACGUACUACAAAUCACAUACAUAACUAUGUGUGCUUGAUCGGCUCGGAUGGAGUUCAUAACAGUAUUGAUCUUCCUCGUCAUGGCCUGGGCGCGCUAGCUGAAGCAAUGUAUUGGUAAGGGCCACCUAUAGCUGGCAAUCAGCUUGUUCCAGGUAUAGAAAAAACAACAUCAAACACCAAUCCUUGCUUAUUUCUUUUGUUUGUGUGAAAUUUCUCAGAUCAGUCAAUAUAUAUAGCUGAGUAUCUUACGUGCGACCGCCGUGCCACGAGUCAUGUGCGACCCACCAGUCGCACAACAACACGUGUUUUUUUUUUUUCUUCACAACUCUUCUUCUUCCUUCCUCUCUCUUCUCCGGCGAAACCGAUCCCCUCCAGUGAAGAUUUUUCACAACUCUUCUUCUUCUUUCUUCCUCUCUCUUCUUCCGCUAUGUUUUGAUCGGGGAUCGGUUAAGAGAGAGGAAGGAAGAAGAAGAGCUGUGAGAAAAAAAAUAAAAAAUGUGUCGCUGUGCGACUGGUGGGUCGCACAAGACACAUGGCACGGCUGUCGCACAUAAGAUUUUCUUGUACCUGUAUUAUAUGGAUCAUGUUACACAGUCCUUGCUGAUGAAGUUUUAUUUUUGGAUAAUCUCUUAAAAUAGUUUGCAUUGGUAGAUGCAAUUUUUGGCUUUUAUAAAUGCAUAUAUCUUGUCUACUUGGUUGAAUAAUUCGGUUCCCUACUAGUGACAGAUUAGCCAGUAAUCUUACUCCUUAACUUAUGUGUGUGAUGAAACAGUCGCAAAUAUGUGGACAAAUUCAGCUCAUAAAUCAAGAACUAAUAUCUCUAAUAGUAAUAAUCUAUUUUCUACUUAUGAAUAGCUAGAUCAAUUAUUCUCACACCAACUAAACUCAUCUAGCCAUCUAGGUCUUUUCUGUGAAUCUGUGAUAUGGAUUCUUCAUAUUAUGUUUUGCAGCUUCUGCCACUGUAUAUUACAAAUUAGAGGUUAUCAUCCUAGAAUUAGAAUUGUCGCACAAGUAAUCAAAGAUGUUGUUUGUUUCUUACUAAAAAAAAAUAAAUAAUAAAAAAUAAAAGUAAAAAAAAAUCAAAGAUGAGAUUGAUUACUGUGGAUGAAGUUGCUCCACUUUAUAGUUUAUACACCAAUUUCAGCUACUUUGUGACUAACUGAAAGGGAAUCGAAACAGCGCAUAAGAUCUGAUUCAGCUAGCAAGUAGCAACACUGCAACACAUCCCUACACAGUGGCAGUUAUGAAUAUAUGUGAUACAGUGUGACUGGCUAGCUAGCUAUGUGUCUCCAUCUCUGUACUAGUCUUUGUGAUAGUGAGAACCAACCAGUUCUUGUAGGCCUAGGCCCAUUUGUUUUUGUAGGCCUACGCCCAUUGUAUAUAAACCAGCCCGUUUGCUUUUGUCUCGUAACAGUGUAACACCAUGAUCAUUCAUAUGAACAUAAUGUUACCUAUUUCAAUCGGGUUUGUCUAUCAUACCAUAUGGUAUGACAUACCUAUUGUAAAUAUGUCUAAUUGUAUGACAUAUGAGGGUUUUUGAAGGGGUAAAUAGUCAUUACAUGGUCAUCAAUGAUAUCCACACAUUUUGUAAGACAUGCUAUACCAUAUAGUACACUAAAAUUUUUCAUUUCUAUUACCCUUUGCAUAUGUAUCAUUUUCAAAGAGAAAAUAAAUAGUAAGACAUAUGAGGGUUUUUGAAGAGGUAAAUAGUCAUUAUAUGGUCAUCAAUGAUAUCCACACAUUUUGUAAGACAUGCUAUACCAUAUAGUAUACUAAAAUUUUUCAUUUCUAUUACCCUUUGCAUAUGUAUCAUUUUCAAAGGGAAAACAAAGCAUGUAAGAGCUGUACUCAACUACGUACUCAUCAUCAUAAGUUCAUAACCAUCCCAACCCAGCCAAUAACACAUGCACAAAAGAACAAGUGUUUAAAGAGAGGUCCACACCAGGGUACCUCAUCUCACUCAAGCCUCAAGGUGAUGUGUAAACAUCAUUGAAACCUCACCACACAACAGUACCUUAAAACUGGCAGACCAAAAAAUAGAAGAAAAAAAAAGGAAAAAGAACGGGAAUAUUAUCAUCAAGCCCUGAUGACAUGCAUGCCAAUAUCAAUGAAGUAGUGAGAAAAAGCUGCUGCAUUUUUUGGAUCUUGCUUCUUGUUCCUUGCAUAUAAUCUUUGUUCAUAAAAUGCAGGAUCACAAACUACAAGCAUAAUGAUACUGAUACUGAUAUUUCUUAGAGUAAACAUAGAAUCCCUUGCUUAUAAUAAACUGAAAUAUACAAAAGAAGAUUGAACAAUUGGACCAGUCAGAUCUUUCAUCCUUAAAUUUACCUACUUGUCAACAAAGCUACUCAUACCAUUAUGGUAUUAGGGUGGUCUACUAGUAUGUCCAAAAUCAGAGGCAAAGCAAAAGCAAAAGAGAUUCCAACUUCAUUUGAUCCCUAUCCACUCCUGGCCUCCUCUCCUCCAUCAGUCUCCAACGUAGCAGCAACAGGAGGAGCAGGAGCAACAUUGAACCCCACAUGUAUCUCCUGUUGUUCUUGUUGCUCAGGGACUGGCUCAUACUCCUGACCGAAAACAAAACAAAACAAAACAAAAGCAGUGUCAUGAUUCACUCAAAACCAACCAAACAAAGACAAAAGGAAAACAUCAGAGAAAAAGAUGGUAGUUGGGUCAGGAUUCUUUCUCUCAUCACAGGACAGAAAUAGUGUAAUGAAAAUGAAAGUCGGCAUAUAUAAUCAAUCACACACCUCAAGUUUAUCAAGGAGCUCCUUGGCGUUGCUAGCAACGACUAUGAUGUGGUGAUGGGAAGGAUGAAUAAAACCUUCAUCCACGGAAUUGUCAAUAGAAGAGAGGAAUAAAUUGAAGAAGCCAUCAACGUUGAGCACACCAACCUGCAAUUUUUUUAAAAGUCAGAAACUUCAAGGAAAAGAUUUUGAUGAAUCUGAUCAGUUAUCACUUGGUGGGUUUUUCAGUAUCAUAAUAUGCUCUCUUACAGGUUUGUCAUGGAUGCCAAGUUUGUACCAAGAAACCACCUCCAGCAACUCUUCAAGAGUUCCAAACCCUCCUGAAAAACCAAAGCUAGAAAUUAAAACCCAUCUGAAUAGUUUAAAGACCAAUAUGAUAAAAAGGGCCACACUUUUUCCUAGUUUUCUAAUGGAAAGAGAUGGGACCUGGUAAUGCUAUAAAACAAUCUGCCUCGCGGGCCAUUUUAGCCUUCCUUUCGUGCAUGUCGGUUACACGUAUUUCCUCCCCAUAUGUUUCCCCUGUUAUCUGAUGAACAGCCACACAUCAAAUGCAAACAUUUUAUGAGAAAAUUGCAAAAAGGAGCUAACUUUGAAACCAAAUGAGGUAGAGGAUGAAAACCCAUAUGAGAUUAGGUAUUUACCUCUACAGGUAGUAGAUCCCUGGGGAUGAUCCUAUGAAAUGUGCGCCAAAAACCCAAAUCAGAAUAUUGUAUAUCAACAGGCAACAAAUUGACUCAAUGGAAACUGAGUCCCAAAAACAUAUGAGAGAAAGAAACCCAAGAAAAGUGAAAAGGCUUGUUGAGUUCUUACCCAAAAACAUGGCCUCCACCAUCAUGCACAGCCUUUGACACAGAACCCAUCAGUCCUAGGCCUCCGCCUCCAUAGACAAGGUUCACCCCCCUUGACACCUUCAAACAGCUCAAAGCUCUCAGACACAACACAACAAACACUACGUAAACAUUUACACAAAAAAAGAAAAAACACAAGCUUUGACAGAAAAAUAAGUACCAGCUCUUGGCCUAGUUCUGUAGCAGCAGUUUUAUAACUCUCUUUGCCCCCAAAACUGCUUGCACAAAAUACACAUGCCCUCCCGAACUUAGACCUCACAGCCUCCUCCUUAUGUUCCAUGUCAAUCACUUGAGCCAUUUCAAAAAUUUCUUAGGUUUGUUGUUGGUGGUUUAGGCUCUUGGGCAAAAGUGACUCAGAGUCUCAGAAAAUAUGGGAGGAGGAUAUGCAGGAAUGGCCAAGUGAGAUGAAACCACCACUAUAUGUCUGAAUAAAUAGAGGAGAGGAAGAGUAAGACAAAAUGGCUAAAGCAUACGAGACACUGUAGGAAGACUGGAAGAGUGGUCUGUGACUGUGACACUGUGGCAGUGGUACAAUUUCGGACCCAUUCCUCUUCCUAACGUCCACUUUGACACGUGUAUGGCAGUGAUGGGAUGAAUGUUUGCGUGGGUUGCGUGUCUCUGGUGGUGAGGUUAAUAAGCGUCCAAUGCGGAAAGAGGACUACAAUCUCAUUCUGCUGCUGCUGAGGUUAAUCAUGAUUAUGAUAGCUUGUUUAAGAGGUCCAAUGGAGUCACUACAUCACAUCAAAGAUUACCAGGACUUCAAUGUGAAUUCAAAGAGCAUUGGGUAUGGGCACUACCGGAAAAGAACACUUAGGAGAUGAAAUUAUUUCGUCGUCUAAGUGACAAAUUCUGUCUCCUAAAUACUUAGAAGACAGACUUAAGAGACAGAAUGUCUGUCGGUUAAGAUCUGUCGAGUAAGAGCUGUGAGAUAGAUACUUAGGCGAUGAAACCUAAAAUUUUGUCUCUUAAGUGGUUAUUAGGAGACGGAAUAUUUUCCUCUCCUAACGUCUUCUAAGCACUUAAGCGACGGAUUUUAUUUUAUAAUAAAAAAAAUUAUCCAUUUAAGAGACGAAAUUGUUGAAUUCUAUCGCUAAAAGUUGAAAAAAAAACUAAAACGCCACCGCAAGUAUUUAUCCACUCACUCCGGCCGCCCCAAAUACCACCACUAUACUAAUUUGCCCCAAAUAUGCUGUCGUUGCCGCCGCCGCCGCCGCCACUAUACCAAUCUGCCCUAAAUAUACCACCACCACCACCGUACCAAAUAUGCCACCACCACCACCGCCAUACCAAUCUGCCCCAAAUAUACCACCACCACCACCGUACCAAAUAACCACCAUGUCACCACCAUCAUACCAAUCACAUCCUAACCAAAAUUAAAAUCAAAAUCAAAAUCAAAUUAGACACCAAAAUCAAAUUAAACAAAAACACAUAAAUCUAUCACCAAAGUUAAACCAGAAAAAUUGAAGAGCUUACCUUGAUCUCUUACCCCUUUGAAAUUUUGAGGGACGGUUGUGGGUUGAGUUGGGUUCGGCGGGAAGACUUGGUAGAGAGAGAAAGGUGGCAGCAUCGGCGUUUGCGGUGGCAGAGAUUUGACCCAAAUCUGAGGGUGGAGGGGAAGGGAGAGAGAGAGAGAGAGAGAGAGAGAGAGAGAGAGAGAGAGAGAGAGAGAGAGAGAGAGAGAGAGAGAGAGAGAGAGAGAGAGAGAGAGAGAGAGAGAGAGAGNNNNNNNNNNNNNNNNNNNNUUUUUUUAAAAAACAUUUAGUCUCCUAAGUUCUACUUAGGCUACGGAAUGUAGUUCCAUCUCUUAAGUGAUUCAUAUAAAUUUUUUAAUUUUUUAUUUUUCAAAAUGUCGUCGUCUAAGUAGAAAAUUUCGUCUCUUAAGUAGAAAAUUUCGUCUCUUAAAAUUUCGUCUCUUAAGUACCACUUAGGAGAGGAAAUUACUAAGUGCUAUUUUCCAGUAGUGGGGGCAGUGGUUAAUAUUUUUGGGAUACAAUUACAGGAACCCAACGACCCAGAUCACCCCAAGUUAAAUCCAACGGUGCAGAGCAAAAGUUAUUUUCCUGAAUUUUUCAAAAUGCUUUUCUUAAACUAAACUUAUGAAAAUUUAGAAAUUAAUCCGAGCAUCCGAAAAAUAUUCCAAAGAUAUCCCGAACUUGUGUCAAUGCGCUCUACGACUUUGGAACCUUAAAUCUAACACUUAAUCUUUUGGUUAAAUCUAGAAAAUUGAUCCAAACACUUCUUACGAAAUUUAUGAGAACUCAUAACUCAAACACCAUGGUUCUCUCGUUUUAUUUUUACAAAGACAAAACUCAAAAGAGAUACAAAUAAGAGAGGUAACAAAAUCAUGACUCAAAGACCCAAGCUACAAAAGGGGAUCAAAAUAGAUGGUAGGCCUAUAUAUGCUUCUAGCUAGUCCAUGCCCUAUACCAAUUCAUAGUUGAAACCGAGCGUCACGUUCCAAGUUAGUGGGGAUGGUAAUCUUUGUGCUGUCUCCUACCUUCUAGUCCUAUUUCAUACACUGCGGACCCAAAAUUAGUUGAAGUGAGAAUUCAAAUUCAACAAUGAUCUGUUCCUCUAGCCACAUUACCUCUCUUUGUUAGACAUAGAGGGAGAUGGGCUCUUUGUUGAAUGAGACAGAGGGGAUGGGUCACAACUCACAAUGAUGUGUAGUGUUAGUGGUCUUCACAGUUUACGUAUCCAACUUUUCUAAUUGUGACAUGGGUUUCAAUAAUACACAGAUAACUAACCUUUUAAAUCGAAAUAGAUAAUUUGUGAUACGUUAACUACCAUACAUGAAAAUAGAGCACAGCCGUAGCAGCCAUGACUACUGUUUUCAGAGUCUUCUAAUUGUACUACUCAUAAUGCAAACACACUGCACUUUUAAAGAGCUUUAUAUCCUGGUUGAACUAUUGUCUUUGCUCCCAAAUUGGUUUGUAGGAAGAAUGUGUGUUGCAUUAUAAUUUCUCAAAAUUCAUGGAGCAUAAACUUAAAAUUAUUAGAAACGGUGCAGGGAAUAACACAUUAAACACUAAUACUCUAUUAUAAGUUAAAUGUAAAUCAAACGUAUUCAUUUAAAAAUGAUUAUAUAGUUUAUAUUUAUAUAUCCGUGACGUUACUACUCGUAAUAAUUAUUCAAGAGAUGUCACACUUAAAAAAAUGAUCAUGUCAAUUGCUCAAUCAUGGAGAGCCAAAAUCCGACAUCACGAAGGCGUCCAUAAAUUUACUGUGGAAAGUUAAUUUUCAUUACUCUAAUAAGUAAUUACUAGGCAUUACACUAAUCCCUUCAAAAAGAAAUACAUAUUUGUGUGUAUUGUACGAUCACGAAUACCAUACAAUAAUGUAUAACAAGGUUUGUACAAAUACGUACACGAAUACAAAUACAAACCCAGUCAAUGGCAGCAAGCAACUAUUCGCUUAGUAAUUGAUUCGAUGCCCAAUUGAAUUGAGAUUGUGAGGGCUCAGAGUGUUAAUCAAAACCCAGAAGUGGGUUGGUAAGCUCCGACUCAUUCACUCGUUUACAACGACUCGGUGAGUAUCUUCUGCGUUUCCAACUCGUUUCUUCCUCUGUUCGUAUAAAUUGCGAUCGACCCUUUAAAGCUCUUCAAUACUUUAUAUGGAACUCUAUGAUUUUUGUGUAUGCUGUAGUUCAUGUAUGCUCAUUGCUUCUUUGGAUCAGUUUGGGUUUUAUGGUUAAAAAAAGUUGGUUUCUUGAGUGUGAUUUUUUGGUAAAUUUGAGGUAAAAAUCUUCAUCUGUGUGUGCAAGAACUGGUUUUUAACAUGCCUUCUUUCAUGAAAUUGGAAAGUUAGGAAAAGGGUAUGUGUAGUUAUGGGAAAGUUUCAAUCUUUAUAUCUCAUUUUAUUGGUGCAUUGGGAAACACCAAUUGCAGGGUGAGAACUUAGGAGUAACUAAGAGAUUUUAACAAGGUUAAUGGGGUAUCCUAAUCUGUAGUUAGGCUCAGUUUUUUGCAAGUUGAAUUUUAAAUCUAAGAACCAGAACAAUUGAAAGCUAAUAUGAAGAAGUGUAACUCACUGGACAAUGUAUGAAGAUUGCAACUGUCUUUUUGAUCCUGUAGAUGCUACCCGUGACUGUUUAAUUAGCACCUUCCAGAAAUGAAGUUAGCCUGUAGAAUCUGAAGCUCACCUAACAUUAUCUUGGCAGAUACUAAUCUCAGCUUCUAUUAGCAGCUGAAAAAUGGAUUUUAGUACAAUGGAUCGCGGGCAGUUGACCCUGCUAGGAUCAGCUGGUUGCGUGAUGCUCACAAUGCAUUUCACAGUCCAGUUAUUGUCACAGCAUCUCUUUUACUGGAAGAACCCAAAGGAACAGAAAGCUAUAAUAAUUAUCAUUCUUAUGGCUCCACUAUAUGCAAUUGACUCAUUUGUGGGUUUAUUGGAUAUUCAAGGAAGCAAAGCAUUUUUCAUGCUGUUAGACUCUAUUAAGGAGUGUUACGAGGCUCUGGUUAGUGGUUCCAACUUAACUAUGACUUUAGUCCUUGUUCUCUUAUGGCUUGUCAAGUUGUCAGAGUNNNNNNNNNNNNNNNNNNNNACAAUCAUUCUUAAUGUUUCUGUUUCAUUGGCAUUAUACUCUCUGGUUGUGUUUUACCAUGUGUUUGCAAAGGAACUAGAACCACAUAAACCCCUUGCAAAGUUCAUGUGCAUCAAGGGCAUCGUCUUCUUCUGCUUUUGGCAGGUACAGUCUAUCAAUCUCUUCAGCUUUUUUCUGAUUUAUAUAUGCUUGCAGACAAGGUUCUAGUAUAAGAUAAUUCUAUAUGGACAUACACCUAAUACGUUGAUGUGAAUCCCCUAUGUAUUGACUUGAGUGAUUGGUUUAGUCUUUUGGAGUUGAAGCUUGUUUUACUUGUUUUGAGCUUCGCUCUUGAUUUGGCAGAAUUGCAAUUUAAUUUUGUUUGACAUUAUCUGAUUCUAGACUUGGGGUAGCAAUUCCAUGUUGAGCGUGGAAAUUUAAAGACCAUUUAGUUUUUACUGAUUCUUUAGAGUUAAUAUUGACUUAAUUGUCUGGGUCUAGUGAACACCAUUCAUUGAUUCUUAUAUUGCUGAGUGUUACUUGAUGAGCUAGUUCGAAGUGCAACACUGCGCAGUGCGCACUGCCUAGAGAUUCUUUUAAAACUAGUUAUCUCCUACUGAGUGUUGACAUUAUCAAAUGAUAACUUUGGUUUAACAAUUUGCAGGGAGUGGUCCUUAAGAUAUUAGCUGCUAUCGGUAUCAUUCGAUCUCAUCAUUUCUGGUUGGAUGUGGAGCAUAUUAACGAAGCUAUUCAGAAUGUUUUGAUAUGUCUUGAGAUGGUUGUCUUCUCUGUUCUUCAGCAAUAUGCAUAUCAUGUUGCACCUUACAGUGGAGACGUUGAAACAAAGAUGAGAGUAAACAAGAAGAACGAAUGAUUUGAAGAAUGACAUCAUUUUAUAUAUCUUCUUUAACCUCUGAAGUGAUAUUAAGGCCCUAGGUCUGAGACUGGAACUUCGAAACGAGUCGAUCCACAUUUAUGUAUUCUUUUCUUCCUUCCUGCAAUUUUCCAUAAUAGUGGAAAGCAUUUCGUUCAACAAAUCACGUGCUAGAACCAAAUGAUGAAAACCUGCAUUUCGUAUAGGGUUUGAGUCACUUGCGAUACCUUUGUAGACGGCUGAUGAGAGAAAUGCAUCUGCAGCCAUGGCUAAUUUGUCAUGAUCCUCUGCAGUCUAAAAGUGAGAGACCGCGAUCAUCAAUGGCAACAUCUUGUGAGAAGAUUAAACCCUCAAGUAUAUAGUGUUUUCAAACUUCUUACCACCAAGUAUAUGUCACCAUACUCGAUCGUACAGAAUACUAUAUUCUUAACUUGUUAUCUAUGUAUUCUUACCAAAACCAUAAAACUUGGUGACGAGGAAAAGCUAUCUUGGGUAGAUUCCUAUAUAUUAUAUAUACAUGGCUAGCCCGCCCCAAAAUCCAAAAAAAUCUAAAAAUCAUAGCCAGCCCUAAACCUCAUAGUCUUGUAGUAGAAAACAUGGGUGAUGAUGGUGCCUCCUACAAAUCGAUUGUGCCCAUCACUGCAGCUGUAAUGGCAGCUGGGUCAGCUGGGUUUCUGUUCUAUCAUCUCUCUGCUAAGCGUCUGGACGAAAGGGCUUAUAGAAAAGAGCAGCUCUCGAUUCAGCGUGACAUACUUGCGUAAGAAUUUUUCUUCAUCAAUUGAUCCCUGAUUUCCUUUAAAUCUAUGAUGUUAUAAUCUUUCAAUGUUCUCCCAAUUUCAUUUAUUGUCACUUUUUUUUGUUAUAGAUGAGUCGUUCUGAUUCUUUGAUUUUGUGGUUUUUGGUUAAUUUGCAGUUGUGUUUCUGCAGCUAUCAAGCAUGUCACCAUUGGGUAAGUAUAAUCUAUUGUGAAUCGAUUCCAAAUCAGAGUAGGACAAAUAAUUAUAUAUAUUCAUUGAUCAAAUCAUUCCAUUCAAUCAUAAUUUGAGAGAUCUUUUGAACCUUCAAAUGGCUUUGUGCUAUAUUCAUAUUUGUUAUUUUGAUACUAUAAUUUACCUUGUUUUCGAAAAAUAAGCUUCCAUUGAAACUUAAUGAGUACACUCCUUUAGAAUGACAUCCCUUAUAAAUUACAAACCAUCUUUGGCUAUCACUAACACACAAAGAAUUGCUAGCUAUUCUAUGUGCUACCAUAUUAGCAUCUUUAGGAGCAUAGCUGAUAAUGUAAUUAGCAUGUCCUCUCAUCAUCUCUUUCACUUCUUCAAGUAUGAAACCCAAAUUAGAGUAAUCUGUAGCUUCUGGUUUCUACGCAUUCUCAAGUAUUAGUUGUGUAAUAUAAGUUUGUGCAGCAGAAUUUUUCCUAACAAAUUGUGAAGCUCCAUGCUAGUUUAGGGUGGUCUCAGGAUAUCACUAGCUAGAGUUUUUAUUAUUUUUGGUCAGAUAACUAGCUAGAUUACACACAAGGCAGCAAGGGCAUUUGCCUCCAAGUCUUAUUUUGCAUUUGGCAUCUUCUCUUGAAUCUACAAUUCUACAUUGUAUUUCUCUUUCACUAUUGCAAGUGUGCUACUAUAUUGUGCUUAUGGUUGCUACAUAUAUACAGAUAGGCAUGAUGGAUAUAUGAAAAGGGGGUUCGUUGAAGGGCCUGGCUUUAUAUUUUAAAUUUACACCAGCUAAUCAAAUUCCUAAGAAGCAAAUUUUCUGUCAUUGGUAUUUUAGUUUUGAGGUUCUGAGGUUUAUUUGCAAAUAGAUGAUCGAUGACCUUCUUCUUAUGUUGAUGUGAAUUCGGUGUCCUUAACUCAGGUUUUUGCUUCUUUGCAGGCCCCAGGGUGAAAGUGCGGGUAAGAAGAAGUGGUGAGGUUAACUAGCAUAUCUAUCGAAAGUUAGACCUUGCAUUUGCAUUACUAAUUAAAAGCUUCUGAAAUUUGCAACAAGAACGUUUGCUUAUUUAUGAUUUGAUGUAUGUGACUUAUGCAUAUGGUUUCUCUAUACAUAUGGCUGCAAUGGAGAUAACCAGUCAGUGAAUAAAACCGAGUUCAAACUUUCUCUUAAAUUUUAAAACAUCUCGAAUUCGUCAUAUCACUCGUCACAACUUUAACUAUGAAUUCAGAUUUAAAGACAAUUAAAUUGAAUCAUUUUCUAAACCCCUAAGCUCAUAAAGCAAUUUCUAACUAGCGAUCAAGAGACUUACGGACUAGAAUCCGUAUAGAAUUUUUGUCUUUUCAACUAUAGAUUAAUACUCCGUGAUCGACAAUGUUAUUACAAGCCGUUUGUUUUGAAGAAGCGCAUAAAGAGAGAUUAUACAACCAUGAGAUAUAAAAACUACAUCAAAAUGUAAGAUAAAAAAGUAAUACGGAAUGCUAUUAAUCAGGCAAACAUUCUGAUUCUGAUUGAUGAAUUAUGGAGCACAACUGACUCAAUUUUGGAAAGAUUGUGUAUUUCCAAAGGUGUGUAAUUUACAUGGAGAACAACUAUGAACAAAAUGUGUGGUUUUUGGGGUUUAGGACCUAAGGACCAACUCCAUCUGCUCUGCUUAGGCCAAACAGUAACACCAAACAGAGGACGGACGGCGCCGUCACAACGGCCGUUCACACGCGUGUGUGCAAGAACUGGUUUUUAACAUGCCUUCUUUCAUGAAAUUGGAAAGUUAGGAAAAAGGUAUGUGUAGCUAUGGGAAAGUUUCAAUCUUUAUAGAAUUAACCUUUGUUUAGUCCUUAAGGUUUAAGGAAGUCAUCUAUUUAGUUCUCAAGGUUUUAAAAACAUCUAUAUAGUCCUUAAGGUUUUGAUUUCUCUUCCAGAAUGUCCUUUUGUUACAAACUUCCGUUAAAACACUGUUUUUCUGUUACAAAAAGGUUUUUUUUUAUUUU